ACGUCUACAUCACGUUGAAACACCGGUUCAUGUACGAUCGCCGAAGUUAAGCAACGUCGAACCUGGUCAGUACUAAGAUGGGUGACAGCUUAGGAAUAACGGUUGCUGGA